CAGCAACGGUCCAAAUCUUUUCAAUUUUUGCAAAAUUUACCAUAAUCUUCAUUUUGUGUCACUCACAGUUUCAAACAUUUAAAAAUAUGCAGCUGGAGUCUAGAUGGAUGGAUUCCAUCCAUUUUACCGUUAGUUGAUCAAGAAAAUAAAAAAUUGAUCAAUUUUGACCAAAUAUUUAAGAGUAAAAUGGUAACUUUAUAUUUUUCUCACAUUAAAUAAGUUAAAAAUUAAAUUAAAAAACCAAAAAAUAAAAAUAAAAAUAUAUAACCCUACUCCCUCCACCCAAUCCCACUUCCCCAAAUCAAAAUCUCACGGUAUUCUUCUCGGACGAGACCUAUCGAAAAUUACCAGGCAAUUCAAAGGCAAAUCUGUUGUAAUUGAUGAAUAUGGCAUCCAAAGGUUUGUCAGAUAGUUUAGAAGGGUCAAUUCCUUCAAACUCAUUAUAACGUAUAUCUAAAUAGAUUAACUUAGGCAAACUUAGCACAACAGAGAGAAAUUUCCCAACCUUUUAUUGCUCAAGUCCAAUUCAAAGAGUAUCUUCAAGUUUUUGAAUUUCUUGGGCACAGUACCGCAAAACCUGUUGGAGUUGAUAUGGAAAACGCCCAGAUCUGUGAGUAGGCCAAGUUCUUUUGGAAGACACCCAAUAAUGUCACCAUGGUUGAGAUAAACGCUAGCAACUGUAAGAAUAGAAGAGUUGUCUGGUACGGAAGCACAGAAUACACCGGUAUAGUUACAAACAUGAAACAUCAGAUCCGACCCAAUUCGCAAUAAGAUUUUGGGGAUCUGAGAGAAUGGCUUGUUUCAAAACUUGUAAUGCAAUGUAUGCAUUUCUCAGCCUUGGAUUCUUGAAGACAAGUGAAGGGUCAACCGUCACUUUCUCUCCUCUAUCGCCAAACUCAUCUCUCUAGUAUAAGAGCUGCCUUCGCUUGAUGAAAUAAGCUUCAACAUCAGUGAGACAGCUGACUAUGUGGUGGAUUACAUGAGAAUUAGCUCCCGAGCUGGCGAUGUCGACCACCUUGGCUCCGACGGAGGCUCUUCGAGUCCAAGACGCCACCACCGUCUACUGUUGACGAAAUCGAGGCCAGGCUUCGGGACGCUGAUCUUCGCUGUCAAGUCUCUUUUUCUUUUUCUCCGUCUUUUGAAAGUUUAAACCUUUGAUCAGAAUUUGUUAAUCUUAACGUUCAUGGAAUAAUUAACAACUACUAGGGUUGGCUUUGAUGUGGAUGGUAGAUGUCGAGUGUGACAAUUUCAUAAUCUCUUUGCCGUGGUAACUGUUGCUUGUUGUCACAUCUGGGCAACCUACUUGGACGAUGGCCCACUCAUGACGAUCCACGUGGCAUUCUUGUCAAGGUGUCACACAAUGUCGAGGUGGGCUAAUCCGAACUGCUUCGAGCCGAAGUUCAUUUGUCGAGGCUCCUUUUUGUCCGAGGCCUACUAACCGAAGUCAGGCUGCAGGAACCUGUUGAGAGCAGUUGAGGCCCUCAAGUGGAAGUAUCAUGACACAUGGCCGAAGCCCCGAAGCUGAUGCGCGAGCCUCUGAACCACAAAGAAACAUCCUCCAUGGUCACUUCUCCCAAGAGAUCGCCUGCAUAGAUCUUAUUUGAAUGAUUGAUGGAACGUUUGUCAUAAGAAUAAAUGUUAAGUCUUGUCACUAGUAUGAAGGCCCUGCACAAGCAAUAAAUGCGCCGUAAGCUAGCAAGUCAAACCCCAUACCUAGGAAAAGAUGUUUGAACUAAAGAGAUGAGGCAACGUGCCACUUCAUCCAAGGGCUCCAAUUUGAUAUGUACUACUAUAAAUACUUCCUUGUGUGAUAUCAAAAGACUAAUGCAAGAAUCAAUACUAAGAACUACAUUUACUCAA
rnacentral:lncRNA from 1 species